AUCGCUUCUCGGCCUUUUGGCUCAGAUCAAGUGUAGUAUCUGUUCUUAUCAGUUUAAUAUCUGAUACGUCCCCCAUCGGGGGACUACAUAUUAAAUGGAUUUUUCGAACAGGGAGUCGGAAAUGGGGCUUGCUCCGUCCGCUCCACGCAUCGACCCAG
rnacentral:snRNA from 8 species